CCUUAGCGCAGCCGGCCUCGUUAGGGACGGCCCGGGGCUCUGACAGUUUGACGUGCGGACUCCGGAUCUGAAUUAGGGACUUAAAUUACACUUUAAAGUACAGUUUGUUACGCGCUUUUCCUUCUCGCCGCACUGUGGGAUUCAUCGAUAAGUUAAGUAAUUGUGCCAAUUCAAACGGGUCGCUUUGCAUCCGACGCGACCGGCGCGAUAGAGCGUCUCCCCUCCGAAGAACGUCCCCGGCCUUAACGGUUUCCAGGGGCCUCCGCUGGGUGCGUCUCCGCUCUGCUUUCCAUCGCCCCAAUUCCGAACAAAAGAAAAAGGGGGGAAAAAAUUAUUUAUUUGUUUAUUUCUUAAGAAAAAUAAGUCUUUUUAAGAUAAUAAGAAAAAUAAGGAACAAACGUGCAGACCUUCACUGCUCAGGGGGGCUACAAACCAAAGUAAAACUAGGGGCCGGCAAAAACAUGGUGCUCCACAGUCUUAAUUUAACAAAACACAGUGGAACCCCCUGAAAUAGCGUGAAAUUCAGAAGCCUGUGGUCGGGCUGAAGCAUCGUGUGCUGGCCGGCAGAUGUUUGGAAAGGUGCUAAGAUGUAACUCUUAUUGUCCAUAGAAUUUGCUGUUAACCACUUGCAAGAUACAAAGUGACGGCCAGCUGGAUGAAUAGGAGAAUGUAUGUGAACACCCGGAACUGACAGACCCGGCACGGUGCAUGUGGCUUGAAGUGGGCACUGAGAGAAAGCUCAGACAACAUUUAUACAUGCUAUUAACAUUCACAUUAAUUUCCACUGGGACACGACUUAAUUAAGGUGAGCUGUACAAAGUUCAUCUCAUUUCCCUUUACGCUCCAUUCCAUACACAAUGUAUGUUACCAGAGAGAUACUGCGCUAUGCUUCACUACUUUAAUCACUGGCCUGUCCCAUUGUAGUUCAGGAACGCAUGCAAGUGUACUGUUCUUAUUAGAGGCACGGUCUGGAGAAGAUGGCCGGGGAGCUGAGCAUCAUUUCUACAUCAGCUGCUGAAGCGCCCACUAACUUUGGAUGUCGCCUAAACCUUCAGAUGGAAUCCUUGCAGGCAUUCCCGUGGGGAUCGGGAAAUUGCAGUAUGCCGGAACUACCGUUGCUGAUGUGGGGCGAGCGCUCUGAAGUGCACUUGGAGAAGAACGCAUUCCAAUCCCGCAUAUAUGAAAAGUUUAAUAUUUUAGACAGCUAGAUGAAAUGCUGGGGUCUUGGUGCAUUUUGCUUUGGCGGUCCAGGCUUUUCAGCAUCUUAGGGAAAUGUUUGGAAAUGAAUUUUAUUUUCACAACUGUGGUACAAUUACAAGGCGGGGAUGUUUCACCCUUCUCACCGAGGUGCCCUUGGUGGUGGUGGUCUGUAAAUGGCUAUAGAACUGACAGAGAAGUCUGCAAGCAUUUUCUUCGGUUCUGAUUUUUAUUCUUAUUUGUUUUAACAGAGAGAUAAAAACCAGCAUUGUGCAUGUCCUUGCUCUGCGGGUUGGGGAUGUAUCGUUGUUGUUGUCGUUGUUUUCCUGGGAAGUAAAACAGGGUAGGAUAUUGGUAAUAAGGGCAAGUGGAUUUAUUGCUGAGCGAGUUGUACGCUGUUUGACAGAAAAUUCCUGAACUGAUCGGUGUUGGUGGAAGUUGGGGCUGCCUCCCGAUGUUUCCUGAGCCUUCUAUUUAGUUUGGAGUUCUGGGAAGUAUUUGUGGGCUUAAUCCAUUUACGCUUUUGAUAGCUCAGGAAGGAACACCUGAUGUGUACGUGACUUUUAAAAGAAACAGUGAAAUUGAAGAAAUGGGUUCC
ensembl:lncRNA